rnacentral:rRNA from 1 species
AUUGAACGCUGGCGGCAUGCCUUACACAUGCAAGUCGAACGGUAACAGGUCUUCGGAUGCUGACGAGUGGCGAAUGGGUGAGUAAUGCAUCGGAACGUGCCCGAGAGUGGGGGAUAACGGGGCGAAAGCUUUGCUAAUACCGCAUACGAUCUCAGGAUGAAAGCAGGGGACCGCAAGGCCUUGCGCUCACGGAGCGGCCGAUGGCAGAUUAGGUAGUUGGUGGGAUAAAAGCUUACCAAGCCGACGAUCUGUAGCUGGUCUGAGAGGACGACCAGCCACACUGGGAAUGGGACACGGCCCAGACUCCUACGGGAGGCAGCAGUAGGGAAUUUUUGACAAUGGGCGCAAGCCUGAUCCAGCCAUGCCGCGUGCAGGAUGAAGGCCUUCGGGUUGUAAACUGCUUUUGUACGGAACGAAAAGACUCCUUCUAAUAAAGGGGGUCCAUGACGGUACCGUAAGAAUAAGCACCGGCUAACUACGUGCCAGCCGCCGCCGUAACAC